rnacentral:rRNA from 1 species
UACGAAGGGAGCUAGCGUUGUUCGGAAUCACUGGGCGUAAAGCGCACGUAGGCGGAUGUGUCAGUCAGGGGUGAAAUCCCGGAGCUCAACUUCGGAACUGCCCUUGAUACAGCACGUCUUGAGUCCGGAAGAGGUGGGUGGAAUUCCUAGUGUAGAGGUGAAAUUCGUAGAUAUUCGCAAGAACACCAGUGGCGAAGGCGGCUCACUGGCCCGGUACUGACGCUGAGGUGCGAAAGCGUGGGGAGCAAACAGG